GCUGACAUGCCUGUCUUUUCUGCCUGUCUGUCUCUAGCUUAUAAAUACACCACAACAUCACUGUCAGUACACAGUGGGCGGGAGAGACAGGAAGAGAGGAAGAUGUCACAGGUGAAGGAAAUAAUGACGCAAAGGAUGGGUAGAGAAAAGAGCGACACACCUUAAAAAAUAAUAGUUGGGGGGGGUCGAAGUUGUAGACAACAAAUACUUGGCAUUUGGUGUGGUCUCUACAGUGCAAAAGAAUGGUGAUGGAACAGUUCUUUGUGGCUGUGCUAAUGAUGUCUGCACACCUAGCAGUCUCAUAUCCUCUGAUUACAGAGCGCUAUUACAUGGAUGGAGGGAGACAAUGCAGACUGUGUCCACCAGGUCAUUAUCAGAAGUCCUGUUCAGAGUGCUCUCCCUGUCGAGAUGGUUCCUACACAACACGAUUGAACGCAGAGUCCAGUUGUCAUUCCUGCUUCAAAGACUGCAAACGUGGUACAUGAACACAAACACA